AGAUUGAACGCUGGCGGCAGGCCUAACACAUGCAAGUCGAGCGGUAGAGAGGUGCUUGCAUCUCUUGAGAGCGGCGGACGGGUGAGUAAUGCCUAGGAAUCUGCCUAGUGGUGGGGGAUAACGUUCGGAAACGGACGCUAAUACCGCAUACGUCCUACGGGAGAAAGCGGGGGACCUUCGGGCCUCGCGCCAUUAGAUGAGCCUAGGUCGGAUUAGCUAGUUGGUGAGGUAAUGGCUCACCAAGGCGACGAUCCGUAACUGGUCUGAGAGGAUGAUCAGUCACACUGGAACUGAGACACGGU
rnacentral:rRNA from 1 species